GACAGAGGGUGCAAACGUUGUUCGGAAUUACUGGGCGUAAAGCGCGUGUAGGCGGCUCUGCAAGUCGGGUGUGAAAUCCCAUGGCUCAACCAUGGAAGUGCAUUCGAAACUGCAGGGCUAGAGUCCUGGAGAGGAAGGUGGAAUGCUUGGUGUAGAGGUGAAAUUCGUAGAUAUCGAGAGGAACACCGGUGGCGAAGGCGGCCUUCUGGACAGUGACUGACGCUGAGACGCGAAAGCGUGGGGAGCAAACAGG
rnacentral:rRNA from 1 species